AAAAAUAUAAAAUAUAAAUGGUAAAAAUUAAUUUAAAGGUAUAAUUUAAAAUAAAAUAUAUAAAUAUGUAUAAAUUUAAAAUAAAUAAACACCAAUAUUCAUGCACUUAAAAAAAUUAACAACUACUAUACUUAAAAAAAAAGUAAAAAUAAAUAAGAAAUUUUAAAAAAAAGUGAUUUUUUUUAAUUUUUUUAAAAAUAUAUAUGUAAAAUUCACGUGGAUUUAAAAAAACAUUAAAA
rnacentral:lncRNA from 1 species